AGAGUUUGAUCCUGGCUCAGGACGAACGCUGGCGGCGUGCCUAACACAUGCAAGUCGAGCGAUGAAGCCCUUCGGGGUGGAUUAGCGGCGGACGGGUGAGUAACACGUGGGUAACCUGCCUCAAAGAGGGGGAUAGCCUCCCGAAAGGGAGAUUAAUACCGCAUAACAUUGGUCUUUCGCAUGAAGAACUAAUUAAAGGAGUAAUCCGCUUUGAGAUGGACCCGCGGCGCAUUAGCUAGUUGGUGAGGUAAAGGCUCACCAAGGCGACGAUGCGUAGCCGACCUGAGAGGGUGAUCGGCCACAUUGGAACUGAGACACGGUCCAGACUCCUACGGGAGGCAGCAGUGGGGAAUAUUGCACAAUGGGCGAAAGCCUGAUGCAGCAACGCCGCGUGAGUGAUGAAGGCCUUCGGGUUGUAAAGCUCUGUCUUUUGGGACGAUAAUGACGGUACCAAAGGAGGAAGCCACGGCUAACUACGUGCCAGCAGCCGCGGUAAUACGUAGGUGGCGAGCGUUGUCCGGAUUUACUGGGCGUAAAGGAUGCGUAGGCGGAUAUUUAAGUGAGAUGUGAAAUACCCGAGCUUAACUUGGGUGCUGCAUUUCAAACUGGAUAUCUAGAGUGCGGGAGAGGAGAAUGGAAUUCCUAGUGUAGCGGUGAAAUGCGUAGAGAUUAGGAAGAACACCAGUGGCGAAGGCGAUUCUCUGGACCGUAACUGACGCUGAGGCACGAAAGCGUGGGUAGCAAACAGGAUUAGAUACCCUGGUAGUCCACGCCGUAAACGAUGAGUACUAGGUGUAGGAGGGUCGACCUUCUGUGCCGCAGUUAACACAAUAAGUACUCCGCCUGGGAAGUACGAUCGCAAGAUUAAA
rnacentral:rRNA from 1 species